rnacentral:tRNA from 1 species
GCCCGGGUGGUGGAACUGGUAGACACGCAGGACUUAAAAUCCUGUCGCCCGCAAACGGCGGUGCGGGUUCAAUUCCCGCCCCGGGCACCA